UUUAUGGAGAGUUUGAUCCUGGCUCAGGAUGAACGCUGGCGGCGUGCCUAAUACAUGCAAGUCGAGCGAACGGACGAGAAGCUUGCUUCUCUGAUGUUAGCGGCGGACGGGUGAGUAACACGUGGAUAACCUACCUAUAAGACUGGGAUAACUUCGGGAAACCGGAGCUAAUACCGGAUAAUAUUUUGAACCGCAUGGUUCAAAAGUGAAAGACGGUCUUGCUGUCACUUAUAGAUGGAUCCGCGCUGCAUUAGCUAGUUGGUAAGGUAACGGCUUACCAAGGCAACGAUGCAUAGCCGACCUGAGAGGGUGAUCGGCCACACUGGAACUGAGACACGGUCCAGACUCCUACGGGAGGCAGCAGUAGGGAAUCUUCCGCAAUGGGCGAAAGCCUGACGGAGCAACGCCGCGUGAGUGAUGAAGGUCUUCGGAUCGUAAAACUCUGUUAUUAGGGAAGAACAUAUGUGUAAGUAACUGUGCACAUCUUGACGGUACCUAAUCAGAAAGCCACGGCUAACUACGUGCCAGCAGCCGCGGUAAUACGUAGGUGGCAAGCGUUAUCCGGAAUUAUUGGGCGUAAAGCGCGCGUAGGCGGUUUUUUAAGUCUGAUGUGAAAGCCCACGGCUCAACCGUGGAGG
rnacentral:rRNA from 1 species